UACGAAGGGGGCUAGCGUUGCUCGGAAUCACUGGGCGUAAAGGGUGCGUAGGCGGGUUUUUAAGUCAGGGGUGAAAUCCUGGAGCUCAACUCCAGAACUGCCUUUGAUACUGAGGAUCUUGAGUACGGGAGAGGUGAGUGGAACUGCGAGUGUAGAGGUGAAAUUCGUAGAUAUUCGCAAGAACACCAGUGGCGAAGGCGGCUCACUGGCCCGUUACUGACGCUGAGGCACGAAAGCGUGGGGAGCAAACAGG
rnacentral:rRNA from 1 species